rnacentral:ncRNA from 1 species
CAUAUAGAGGCGCGGAACUUAAAAGUACUUUUAUUCGCAUCGGAUUGAAGAAUAAAACGAAAGGAUUUUCCGCCGAAACGAAAAUUUUUUAUCCGGAAAGUUUUCGUUGGGUUGCAGCGAAAUACGUUGCAGACUGUCGCAAGGGUGCUUGCGGAGAGCUAUUG